rnacentral:rRNA from 1 species
AAACGACUCUCGGCAACGGAUAUCUCGGCUCUCGCAUCGAUGAAGAACGUAGCGAAAUGCGAUACUUGGUGUGAAUUGCAGAAUCCCGUGAACCAUCGAAUCUUUGGACGCAAAUUGCGCCCGAAACCAUUAGGCCGAGGGCACGUCUUCCUGGGCGUCACGCAUC